ensembl:snRNA U6 U6 spliceosomal RNA
UUGCUCACUUUGGCAACACACACAGACACAAAAUUGUAAUGAUACACAGAAGAUUAGUAUGGCCUCUGUGCAAGGAUGACAGGCAAUUCAUGAAGCAUUCUAUAUUUUU